GACGCUCUGAAAACCAGGACGCUGAAGAUCAGCAGUUCCAGAGGACACACACACACACACACAAGAACAGAGAGAAAUACUGCAGACCAACUGCUAUCGGUGUCCACAGUAGGGUAUGAGAGCGCUACAGAAUCAUGUGGUUUCUGAGAUGGAGGAGUGAAAGUUCGGCUGAAAACACACGAGGUUUUUCGCUCCUCCAUCAUGUCCGC